CUGUUGCAGGUGACCUUCCUCCUCCUACUGAAGCUGACCUUCCUUCCUCCUGCUGCUUAAUCCUGUUGUCUUGGAUGAUUAAAUCACGCCACAUUCUGCUCGUUUCAAUUCUACAGCGGCGUAUCACAUAGAGAAGUUCGAUCCGGACAACCGCUUCAGUUCGAUGUCACUGCAUAGUGCAGCUUUUUUAUGCUCUUUUCUUGUUUUGACAAAAGAUGUUGUUUUUGUAGAUUUGUGCACAUAAAGUUCAAAAAAUAUAAUGGAGAUAAGCAGCAAGUAUGCGUGUGUGUGGUGGUGAGGUUGAGGUUCAGAAAACGUGUGUGGUGAUGGUGAGGUUCAGAAGAACAUGUGUGUGGUGGAGAAAUUCACUAGCUUUUUUAAUCGGGACACAAGUAAUAGCUUAUUUUGUGCAAACAUAAAGACAAAAAAAUGUAUGCGUCUUUUAUAAAAAGAAAUUAACAAAUGGUCAUGUAUCGUCCCAUGAAAAUUCA
rnacentral:lncRNA from 1 species